UAGCAUCCUGAAGACUCGCCAUCUAGGCCCCACCCGUGGGCCUAGGGGAAAGUCCCCGGACCUCGCACAGCUUUGCCGCAGUGAGUGCAGGCGCUGGAACAGCGUCUCGAGCCCCGCUCGCCUCCCGGGCCCCAACGGGCAGAGAAGCCCCCCCAUAGGCUGAGCCCCCCGCGGCAUGCGAGCGGGGCCUCCCGGUCUCAGUGCAGAGAUAUGGCGGGUAGCGGCCUGGCCGCCAACCCAACGGGGCUCACUCUCGAGAUGCU
rnacentral:RNase_MRP_RNA from 1 species